rnacentral:rRNA from 1 species
ACGCUGGCGGCAGGCCUAACACAUGCAAGUCGAGCGGUAGCACAGGAGAGCUUGCUCUCUGGGUGACGAGCGGCGGACGGGUGAGUAAUGUCUGGGAAACUGCCUGAUGGAGGGGGAUAACUACUGGAAACGGUAGCUAAUACCGCAUGACCUCGCAAGAGCAAAGUGGGGGACCUUCGGGCCUCACGCCAUCGGAUGUGCCCAGAUGGGAUUAGCUAGUAGGUGGGGUAAUGGCUCACCUAGGCGACGAUCCCUAGCUGGUCUGAGAGGAUGACCAGCCACACUGGAACUGAGACACGGUCCAGACUCCUACGGGAGGCAGCAGUGGGGAAUAUUGCACAAUGGGCGCAAGCCUGAUGCAGCCAUGCCGCGUGUGUGAAGAAGGCCUUAGGGUUGUAAAGCACUUUCAGCGAGGAGGAAGGCGCUGUAGUUAAUAGCUGCAGCGAUUGACGUUACUCGCAGAAGAAGCACCGGCUAACUCCGUGCCAGCAGCCGCGGUAAUACGGAGGGUGCAAGCGUUAAUCGGAAUUACUGGGCGUAAAGCGCACGCAGGCGGUUUGUUAAGUCAGAUGUGAAAUCCCCGAGCUUAACUUGGGAACUGCAUUUGAAACUGGCAAGCUAGAGUCUUGUAGAGGGGGGUAGAAUUCCAGGUGUAGCGGUGAAAUGCGUAGAGAUCUGGAGGAAUACCGGUGGCGAAGGCGGCCCCCUGGACAAAGACUGACGCUCAGGUGCGAAAGCGUGGGGAGCAAAC